AUAGCUCAGUUGGUAGAGUGUUUGCCUAGCAUGCACAAGGUCUAGGUUCAAUCCUGGU
rnacentral:tRNA from 1 species